rnacentral:lncRNA from 1 species
GCUACCAGAAGCCGAUCUAGUCGGAUCUACCCUACCUUCGGGUCGGCACAAGUUGCCAAACAUCCUGCCGACUUACGUGAGUUAGCGACUUACACAAGUUAGUUACUCACUGAGGCAUUCAACUGAAAGAAGGAGACAAAGGGAAAGUAGAAGAAACUUUCAUUCAAAGUUUUCAUUUGGAGUGUACAAAGUCGGGUCGAAGCCC